rnacentral:rRNA from 1 species
GACGAACGCUGGCGGCGUGCUUAACACAUGCAAGUCGAGCGGUAAGGCCCUUCGGGGUACACGAGCGGCGGACGGGUGAGUAACACGUGAGCAAUCUGCCCUUCACUCUGGGAUAGCCACCGGAAACGGUGAUUAAUACCGGAUAUGACCCUGCCAGGCAUCUGGUGGGGUGGACAGUUCUGGCGGUGAAGGAUGGGCUCGCGCCCUAUCAGCUUGUUGGUGAGGUAAUGGCUCACCAAGGCUUCGACGGGUAGCUGGCCUGAGAGGGUGGCCGGCCACACUGGGACUGAGACACGGCCCAGACUCCGACGGGAGGCAGCAGUGGGGAAUAUUGGACAAUGGGCGAAAGCCUGAUUCAGCAACGCCGCGUGAGUGAUGACGGCCUUCGGGUUGUAAACCUCUUUCAGCAGGGACGAAGCGAAAGUGACGGUACCUGCAGAAGAAGCACCGGCCAACUACGUGCCAGCAGCCGCCGUAA